AUUGAACGCUGGCGGCAGGCCUAACACAUGCAAGUCGAGCGAUCGGCGGACGGGUGUGUAAUGUAUGGGGAACUGCCCGAUAGAGGGGGAUAACUACUGGAAACGGUGGCUAAUACCGCAUACUAUCGGAUGUACCCAUAUUGGAUUAGCUAGUAGGUGGGGUAAAGGCUCACCUAGGCGACGAUCUCUAGCUGGUCUGAGAGGAUGAGCAGCCACACGGGAACUGAGACACGUCCCAGACGCCUCCGGGAGGCAGCAGUGGGGAAUAUUGCACAAUGGGGGCAAGCCUGAUGCAGCCAUGCCGCGUGUAUGAAGAAGGCCUUAGGGUUGUAAAGUACUUUCAGCGGGGAGGCGUUACCCGCAGAAGAAGCACCGGCUAACUCCGUGCCAGCAGCCGCGGUAAUUC
rnacentral:rRNA from 1 species